rnacentral:rRNA from 1 species
CGAUGAACCACACUUCGGGUGGGGAUUAGUGGCGAACGGGUGAGUAACACGUGGGCAAUCUGCCCUGCACUCUGGGACAAGCCCUGGAAACGGGGUCUAAUACCGGAUACUGACCCGCCUGGGCAUCCAGGCGGUUCGAAAGCUCCGGCGGUGCAGGAUGAGCCCGCGGCCUAUCAGCUUGUUGGUGAGGUAACGGCUCACCAAGGCGACGACGGGUAGCCGGCCUGAGAGGGCGACCGGCCACACUGGGACUGAGACACGGCCCAGACUCCUACGGGAGGCAGCAGUGGGGAAUAUUGCACAAUGGGCGCAAGCCUGAUGCAGCGACGCCGCGUGAGGGAUGACGGCCUUCGGGUUGUAAACCUCUUUCAGCAGGGAAGAAGCGCAAGUGACGGUACCUGCAGAAGAAGCGCCGGCUAACUACGUGCCAGCAGCCGCGGUAAUACGUAGGGCGCGAGCGUUGUCCGGAAUUAUUGGGCGUAAAGAGCUCGUAGGCGGCUUGUCGCGUCGGUUGUGAAAGCCCGGGGCUUAACCCCGGGUCUGCAGUCGAUACGGGCAGGCUAGAGUUCGGUAGGGGAGAUCGGAAUUCCUGGUGUAGCGGUGAAAUGCGCAGAUAUCAGGAGGAACACCGGUGGCGAAGGCGGAUCUCUGGGCCGAUACUGACGCUGAGGAGCGAAAGCGUGGGGAGCGAACAGGAUUAGAUACCCUGGUAGUCCACGCCGUAAACGGUGGGCACUAGGUGUGGGCGACAUUCCACGUCGUCCGUGCCGCAGCUAACGCAUUAAGUGCCCCGCCUGGGGAGUAC